UACGUAGGGCGCAAGCGUUGUCCGGAAUUAUUGGGCGUAAAGAGCUCGUAGGCGGUUUGUCGCGUCUGCUGUGAAAACGCGAGGCUUAACCUCGCGCCUGCAGUGGGUACGGGCAGACUAGAGUGCGGUAGGGGAGACUGGAAUUCCUGGUGUAGCGGUGGAAUGCGCAGAUAUCAGGAGGAACACCGGUGGCGAAGGCGGGUCUCUGGGCCGUUACUGACGCUGAGAAGCGAAAGCAUGAGGAGCGAACAGG
rnacentral:rRNA from 1 species